rnacentral:rRNA from 1 species
UCGGAACGGACUAAUACCGGAUAGUAUUUCCUUUCUCCUGAUUGGAAAUGGAAAGACGGUUUCGGCUGUCACUUACAGAUGGGCCCGCGGUGCAUUAGCUAGUUGGUGGGGUAAUGGCCCACCAAGGCGACGAUGCAUAGCCGACCUGAGAGGGUGAUCGGCCACACUGGGACUGAGACACGGCCCAGACUCCUACGGGAGGCAGCAGUAGGGAAUCUUCCGCAAUGGACGAAAGUCUGACGGAGCAACGCCGCGUGAGCGAUGAAGGCCUUCGGGUCGUAAAGCUCUGUUGUUAGGGAAGAACAAGUACGAGAGUAACUGCUCGUACCUUGACGGUACCUAACCAGAAAGCCCCGGCUAACUACGUGCCAGCAGCCGCG